UAGCCGAAGCCGGGGACAUAACAACCAG
rnacentral:piRNA from 1 species